rnacentral:rRNA from 1 species
GAUGAACGCUGGCGGCGUGCCUAAUACAUGCAAGUCGAGCGAACGGACGAGAAGUUUGCUUCUCUGUUGUUGGCGGCGGACGGGUGAGUAACACGUGGAUACCCUACCUAUAAGACUGGUGUAUCUUCGGGAAACCGGAGAUAAUACCGGAUAAUAUUCUGAACCGCAUGGUUCCUUGGUGCAAGACUGCUUUGCUGUCCCUUCUAGAUGGUUCCGCGCUGCAUUAGCUAGUUGGUAAGGUAACGGCUUACCAAGGCAACGAUGCAUAGCCGACCUGAGAGGGUGAUCGGCCACACUGGAACUGAGACACGGUCCAGACUCCUACGGGAGGCAGCAGUAGGGAAUAUUACGCAAUGGGCGAAAGCCUGACGGAGCGACGCCGCGUGAGAGAAGAAGGUCUUCGGAUCGUAAAACACUGUUAUUAGGGAAGAACAGAUGUGUAAGUAACUGUGCACGUCUUGACGGUACCUAAUCAGAAAGCCACGGCUAACUACGUG